GAUGAACGCUGGCGGCGUGCCUAAUACAUGCAAGUCGAGCGAACGGACGAGAAGCUUGCUUUUCUGAUGUUAGCGGCGGACGGGUGAGUAACACGUGGAUAACCUACCUAUAAGACUGGGAUAACUUCGGGAAACCGGAGCUAAUACCGGAUAAUAUUUUGAACCGCAUGGUUCAAAAGUGAAAGACGGUCUUGCUGUCACUUAUAGAUGGAUCCGCGCUGCAUUAGCUAGUUGGUAAGGUAACGGCUUACCAAGGCAACGAUGCAUAGCCGACCUGAGAGGGUGAUCGGCCACACUGGAACUGAGACACGGUCCAGACUCCUACGGGAGGCAGCAGUAGGGAAUCUUCCGCAAUGGGCGAAAGCCUGACGGAGCAACGCCGCGUGAGUGAUGAAGGUCUUCGGAUCGUAAAACUCUGUUAUUAGGGAAGAACAUAUGUGUAAGUAACUGUGCACAUCUUGACGGUACCUAAUCAGAAAGCCACGGCUAACUACGUGCCAGCAGCCGCGGUAAUACGUAGGUGGCAAGCGUUAUCCGGAAUUAUUGGGCGUAAAGCGCGCGUAGCGGUUUUUUAAGUCUGAUGUGAAAGCCCACGGCUCAACCGUGGAGGGUCAUUGGAAACUGGAAAACUUGAGUGCAGAAGAGGAAAGUGGAAUUCCGUGUGUAGCGGUGAAAUGCGCAGAGAUAUGGAGGAACACCAGUGGCGAAGGCGACUUUCUGGUCUGUAACUGACGCUGAUGUGCGAAGGCGUGGGGAUCAACCAGGAUUAGAUACCCUGGUAGUCCACGCCGUAAACGAUGAGUGCUAAGUGUUAGGGGGUUUCCGCCCCUUAGUGCUGCAGCUAACGCAUUAAGCACUCCGCCUGGGGAGUACGACCGCAAGGUUGAAACUCAAAGGAAUUGACGGGGACCCGCACAAGCGGUGGAGCAUGUGGUUUAAUUCGAAGCAACGCGAAGAACCUUACCAAAUCUUGACAUCCUUUGACAACUCUAGAGAUAGAGCCUUCCCCUUCGGGGGACAAAGUGACAGGUGGUGCAUGGUUGUCGUCAGCUCGUGUCGUGAGAUGUUGGGUUAAGUCCCGCAACGAGCGCAACCCUUAAGCUUAGUUGCCAUCAUUAAGUUGGGCACUCUAAGUUGACUGCCGGUGACAAACCGGAGGAAGGUGGGGAUGACGUCAAAUCAUCAUGCCCCUUAUGAUUUGGGCUACACACGUGCUACAAUGGACAAUACAAAGGGCAGCGAAACCGCGAGGUCAAGCAAAUCCCAUAAAGUUGUUCUCAGUUCGGAUUGUAGUCUGCAACUCGACUACAUGAAGCUGGAAUCGCUAGUAAUCGUAGAUCAGCAUGCUACGGUGAAUACGUUCCCGGGUCU
rnacentral:rRNA from 1 species